UGAAUACGAGACGCUAAGGCGUCGAAGUAGUGUAUGUCAUACUUCCAAGAAAAGCUUGCACUGUCAUAGAUAAAAAACGCCUGUACCAUAACCGACACAGGUGGGUAGGUAGAGUAUACUAAGGGGCGCGAGAUAACUCUCUCUAAGGAACUCGGCAAAAUAACUCCGUAACUUCGGGAGAAGGAGUGCCUUAUUCGUAAGGUUGCAAUAACAAGAUCCAAGCAACUGUUUAUCAAAAACACAGGUCUCCGCUAAGUCGUAAGACGAUGUAUGGGGGCUGACGCCUGCCCAGUGCCAGAAGGUUAAAGAAGUUGGUUAGCAAUUGCGAAGCUGAUAACUGAAGCCCUGGUGAACGGCGGCCGUAACUAUAACGGUCCUAAGGUAGCGAAAUUCCUUGUCGGGUAAGUUCCGACCCGCACGAAAGGCGUAAUGAUUUGGAUACUGUCUCGGAGAGGGGCUCGGUGAAAUAGACUUGUCUGUGAAGAUGCGGACUACCUGCACCAGGACAGAAAGACCCUAUGAAGCUUUACUGUAACUUGAAAUUGAAAUUGGACUUUAUUCGCGCAGUAUAGGUGGGAGGCGUUGAUUAUAAUCUUGUGGGAUUAUUGGAGCCAUCAGUGAGAUACCACUCUUGUAAUGUUAGAUUUCUAACUUUGAAUCAUUAUCUGGUCAAAGAACAGUUUCAGGCGGGCAGUUUGACUGGGGCGGUCGCCUCCUAAACGGUAACGGAGGCGUACAAAGGUUUCCUCUGAACGGUUAGAAAUCGUAUCUAGAGUGUAAAGGCAUAAGGAAGCUUGACUGUGAGACCUACAAGUCGAGCAGGGACGAAAGUCGGUCUUAGUGAUCUGACGGUACUGAGUGGAAAGGCCGUCACUCAACGGAUAAAAGUUACUCUAGGAUAACAGGCUGAUCUCCCCCAAGAGUUCACAUCGACGGGGAGGUUUGGCACCUCGAUGUCGGCUCAUCGCAUCCUGGGGCGGUAGUACGUCCCAAGGGUUGGGCUGUUCGCCCAUGAAAGCGGUACGCGAGCUGGGUUCAGAACGUCGUGAGACAGUUCGGUCCAUAUCCGGUGUAGGCGUUAGAAUAUUGAGAGGAGCCUUCUUUAGUACGAGAGGACCGAGAAGGACAUACCUCUGGUGUACCAGUUAUCGUGCCAACGGUAAACGCUGGGUAGCUAUGUAUGGAGUGGAUAACCGCUGAAAGCAUCUAAGUGGGAAGCCCACCUCAAGAUAAGUAUUCUCA
rnacentral:rRNA from 1 species